rnacentral:rRNA from 1 species
UAGUGGCGAACGGGUGAGUAACACGUGGGCAAUCUGCCCUUCACUCUGGGACAAGCCCUGGAAACGGGGUCUAAUACCGGAUAACACUCCUGCCUGCAUGGGCGGGGGUUAAAAGCUCCGGCGGUGAAGGAUGAGCCCGCGGCCUAUCAGCUUGUUGGUGGGGUAAUGGCCCACCAAGGCGACGACGGGUAGCCGGCCUGAGAGGGCGACCGGCCACACUGGGACUGAGACACGGCCCAGACUCCUACGGGAGGCAGCAGUGGGGAAUAUUGCACAAUGGGCGAAAGCCUGAUGCAGCGACGCCGCGUGAGGGAUGACGGCCUUCGGGUUGUAAACCUCUUUCAGCAGGGAAGAAGCGAAAGUGACGGUACCUGCAGAAGAAGCGCCGGCUAACUACGUGCCAGCAGCCGCGGUAAUACGUAGGGCGCAAGCGUUGUCCGGAAUUAUUGGGCGUAAAGAGCUCGUAGGCGGCUUGUCACGUCGGAUGUGAAAGCCCGAGGCUUAACCUCGGGUCUGA